rnacentral:rRNA from 1 species
CGAAACCAGGGAUUUCGAACGUAAGUUCGGAGUGGUAGGGGAGCGUUCCAUAUGCGGCGAAGUUAGACUGUAAGGUCUAUUGGAGCGUAUGGAAGUGCGAAUGCUGGCAUGAGUAGCGAGAAAUAUGUGAGAACCAUAUUCGCCGAAAAUCUAAGGUUUCCGACGGAAGGUCAGUCCGCGUCGGGUUAGUCGGUCCUAAGCCGAGGUCGAGAGGCGUAGGCGAUGGAUAACAGGUUAAUAUUCCUGUACUAGUUGUGGGAGCGAGUAAGGUCAGCUUUAGGGAAGCCCAGCCACUGAGUGAAUUGUGGUUGCAAGCGGAUAAUAUCCGUUAAGCCGGAGUCUUCGGACCGGAAGUGGGAGGUACCCAGAGCCGAGAAAAGCCUUAUGAGUGAUGAAAGCAGCUAUCCGUACCAUAAACCGACACAGGUAGAUAGGUAGAGAAUACCAAGGCGAACGGGAGAACCCUUGUUAAGGAAUUCGGCAAAAUGGUCCCGUAACUUCGGGAGAAGGGACACCCACGCAAGUGGGUCGCAGUGAAAAGGCUCCAUCGACUGUUUACCAAAAACACAGGUCUCUGCAAAAGCGAAAGCUGAAGUAUAGGGGCUGACGCCUGCCCAGUGCCGGAAGGUUAAGUGGAGGGGUUAACGCUCUGAAAUGAAGCCCCGGUGAACGGCGGCCGUAACUAUAACGGUCCUAAGGUAGCGAAAUUCCUUGUCGGGUAAGUUCCGACCCGCACGAAAGGCGUAACGAGUGGAGCACUGUCUCAACAAGGGACCCGGCGAAAUUGAAGUACGUGUAAAGAUGCGCGUUACCCGCAGCAGGACAAAAAGACCCCGUGGAGCUUUACUGUAGCUUGGCAUUGUGUUUGGGCAUAGUUUGUGUAGCAUAGGUGGGAGGCUUUGAAGCUGGGGCGUUAGCCUCGGUGGAGCCGCCAGUGAAAUACCACCCUGAUUAUUUCUAGACCCUAACCCCACACCGUUAUCCGGGUGGGGGACCGUGCCAGGUGGGCAGUUUGACUGGGGCGGUCGCCUCCUAAAGAGUAACGGAGGCGCCCAAAGGUUCCCUCAGGCUGAAUGGAAACCAGCCUAAGAGUGUAAAGGCAUAAGGGAGCUUGACUGCAAGACCAACGCGUCGAGCAGAGACGAAAGUCGGGCUUAGUGAUCCCACGGUUCCGAGUGGAAGGGCCGUGGCUUACCGGAUAAAAGCUACCCCGGGGAUAACAGGCUAGUCACGCCCAAGAGUCCAUAUCGACGACGUGGCUCGGCACCUCGAUGUCGGCUCAUCGCAUCCUGGGGCUGGACAAGGUCCCAAGGGUUGGGCUGUUCGCCCAUUAAAGCGGUACGCGAGCUGGGUUCAGACC